GAUGAACGCUGGCGGCGUGCCUAAUACAUGCAAGUCGAGCGAACGGACGAGAAGCUUGCUUCUCUGAUGUUAGCGGCGGACGGGUGAGUAACACGUGGAUAACCUACCUAUCAGACUGGGAUAACUUCGGGAAACCGUAGCUAACACCGGAUAAUAUUUUGAACCGCAUGGUUGAAAAGUGAAAGACGGUCUUGCUGUCACUUAUAGAUGGAUCCGGGCUGCAUUAGCUAGUUGGUAAGGUAACGGCUUACCAAGGCAACGAUGCGUAGCCGACCUGAUAGGGGGAUCGGCCACACUGGAACUGAGACACGGUCCAGACUCCUACGGGAGGCAGCAGUAGGGAAUCUUCCGCAAUGGGCGAAAGCCUGACGGAGCAACGCCGCGUGAGUGAUGAAGGUCUUCGGAUCGUAAAACUCUGUUAUUAGGGAAGAACAUAUGUGUAAGUAACUGUGCACAUCUUGACGGUACCUAAUCAGAAAGCCACGGCUAACUACGUG
rnacentral:rRNA from 1 species